rnacentral:tRNA from 4 species
GCCCCUCUAGCUCAGUUGGUCAGAGCUGCGGACUUUUAAUCCGAAGGUCGUGGGUUCGAGCCCCACGGGGGGCACCA